rnacentral:lncRNA from 1 species
GAACAAUAUGUACAAUUGAUUGCUAUAGGAAUAGAAACCAGGAUUAUGAAACUUCCUGAAGCCUUUGUAAAGGCUGAAUGGAGUGUGUGAUAGCAAAAUUAGAACUAAGUCUUUAUUUUAAAAGAAUAUAGUUAUUAAAAGCAACAGACCUAAUUUCACCUUGUUUUAUUCUCCAUUGGUGGAACAAAAGAUGCCUCUAAUUUUCAUUACAAUUUAAAUUUUUUGUGCCUUCUCACAAUCUUAAGUCUGAGAAUCCAGUGAGGUGUGUGAAUGCAAGGGUUAAACCCAGAGAGGUCUGAUGCAGUUUAUGAGAUCCAGACUACCUGAACAGGGAUAUAGGUGAACCCUUACAGGUAUGAAAGCUGAAGCUGCUUCCUUUAUGUAGCAGUAAAAGGCAACAUGACCUACUUCUCCCAUUGGGAUGACUUGCCAGGGAGGGUGCAGAUGGCAUUGCUGUACCUUUGGUGGGGCAUCCUGUCCCCUUGGUAGGUAGGGUCUGCUGAUGAACAGAAGGUACAGCCUCAGUGUGCUGUGCUGUAGCUGUCUCUGGCUGAGAAGCAGCUGUUAAGGAGGAGGAGGAGGAAAAAGGAGGGAGAAAUGGCAAUCAGACCACCAUGAUUUUAUAUAAUUAUCUGGCUAAACAGAUAAAACAGGCCCUAGCCCAGGGUAUAAUUAGUCGUGUCCGGCACAUCCUCCUGGGCAGGGAGAUAAACUGCAGCCUCUGCCAGCUGGGGCAGUGCCAGUACCAUGAAUUAGCACAGCAUGCUCCAGAAGCUUCUCUUUCUGCACCAGCAUAGCCCAGCGUAUUCCCAAAAGGGCACAGGAGGUGAGUAAGCAAGUGGUGAAAGUACAGCAAUUGUGAGCCACACAGGCAUUUUCCUGGAAAAGCAUCCUCUCCAAGCCUCUUCUGAGAUGUGUUAUUAAAGUAUUCUCUACUGAAAGCUAGGAGGUUGUGCUUCGGUCACACUUCUAAGUUGUUAUGUAAAGGGAUUCUCUUCUUAACUUAGGAAAAGAAACGUACAUGACUUAAACUAAGACUCUGCUUGGAGGAGAAAUUCUUCCUCUCCUUUCUCUUCCUUACUUUCAUCUCUUGCAUAACUGCACACAACUUAAAGCAGUUGUUGGCUGAACACAAAAAUGUGUCUCUACAUGAGCAAGGAAUAAUGGGGACUAGAAAACAAGGUAUUCACAUCUCUAAUUUGAGUCAAAACAAUUCUAGCUAUUGAAAACAAAAAAGUAGUGAAAAAA